CUCUUAUAGAUUUUAUAGAAUUUGGUUUUUAGGUGAAGAAACCUAAAUGUAAUUAAAAGACAAGAAGACCCUAUCGAGCUUAAAAUAAUUUUUUUGGUAUAAUGAUAACAUCUUACUCAAAAAAAGAUUUUAGUUGGGGCGACUAAGGAACACAAAAAGCUUCCUAUAAACUAUAGCUACUAAUAAGUAUUGAUCCAAAAAAUUUGAUUAACAGAAUUAGUUACCGUAGGGAUAACAGCAUAAUCUUUUCCAAGAGUCCUUAUCGAAGAAAAGGUUUGUGACCUCGAUGUUGGACUAGGGUGCCCAGACAGGUGCAGAAGCCUUCAAUGGUUGGUCUGUUCGACCA
rnacentral:rRNA from 1 species